GCUCAGAAACUUAAAGGAAAGUUGACGGGGCCCGCACAAGCGGUGGAGCAUGUGGUUAAUUCGAAGCAACGCGAAGAACCUUACCAGGCCUUGACAUGCAGAGAACUUUCCAGAGAUGGAUUGGUGCCUUCGGGAACUCUGACACAGGUGCUGCAUGGCUGUCGUCAGCUCGUGUCGUGAGAUGUUGGGUUAAGUCCCGUAACGAGCGCAACCCUUGUCCUUAGUUACCAGCACGUUAUGGUGGGCACUCUAAGGAGACUGCCGGUGACAAACCGGAGGAAGGUGGGGAUGACGUCAGGUCAUCAUGGCCCUUACGGCCUGGGCUACACACGUGCUACAAUGGUCGGUACAAAGGGUUGCCAAGCCGCGAGGUGGAGCUAAUCCCAUAAAACCGAUCGUAGUCCGGAUCGCAGUCUGCAACUCGACUGCGUGAAGUCGGAAUCGCUAGUAAUCGUGAAUCAGAAUGUCACGGUGAAUACGUUCCCGGGCCUU
rnacentral:rRNA from 1 species